UCUCUGAUAGCUUAAUUGGUAGAGCAUUUGGCUGUUAACCAUUAUGUUGAGGGUUCAAGUCCCUCUUAGAGAU
rnacentral:tRNA from 1 species